rnacentral:snRNA from 1 species
AUAUACUAUAUAUAUAUACAUAUAAAAAGGAAUGAUACAGAGAAGAUUGGUGUGGCCCCUGUGCAAGGGUGACACACCAAUUUAUGAAGUAUUCCAUAAAAUC